rnacentral:rRNA from 1 species
GAUGAACGCUAGCGGCAGGCUUAAUACAUGCAAGUCGUGGGGCAGCAGGUUUGUAGCAAUACAGAUGCUGGCGACCGGCAAACGGGUGCGGAACACGUACGCAACCUCCCUCUUUCUGGAAGAUAGCCCACCGAAAGGUGGAUUAAUACUCCAUAAUAUAUUGAAGUGGCAUCACUUUAAUAUUAAAGCUCCGGCGGUAAGAGAUGGGCGUGCGUCUGAUUAGGUAGUUGGCGGGUAACGGCCCACCAAGCCUGCGAUCAGUAGCUGAUGUGAGAGCAUGAUCAGCCACACGGGCACUGAGACACGGGCCCGACUCCUACGGGUGGCUG